UACGUAGGGCGCAAGCGUUGUCCGGAAUUAUUGGGCGUAAAGAGCUCGUAGGCGGCUUGUCACGUCGGAUGUGAAAGCCCGGGGCUUAACCCCGGGUCUGCAUUCGAUACGGGCUAGCUAGAGUGUGGUAGGGGAGAUCGGAAUUCCUGGUGUAGCGGUGGAAUGCGCAGAUAUCAGAGGAACACCAAUGGCGAAGGCAGAUCUCUGGGCCGUAACUGACGCUGAGGAGCGAAAGCAUGGGGGAGCGAACAGG
rnacentral:rRNA from 1 species